rnacentral:rRNA from 1 species
UUCUGGUUGAUCCUGCCGGAGGUCACUGCUAUUGGGAUUCGACUAAGCCAUGCGAGUCGAGAGGGUUCGGCCCUCGGCAGACGGCUCAGUAACACGUGGAUAAUCUGCUCUUAGGUGGAGGAUAACCUCGGGAAACUGAGAAUAAUACUCCAUAGAUCUAAGAUGCUGGAAUGCACUUAGGUUAAAAGCUACGGCGCCUAAGGAUGAGUCUGCGGACUAUCAGGUAGUAGUCAGGGUAAAGGCCUGACUAGCCUACGACGGAUACGGGUUGUGAGAGCAAUAACCCGGAGACGAUAUCUGAGACACGAUAUCGGGCCCUACGGGGCGCAGCAGGCGCGAAACCUUCACAAUGUGCGAAAGCACGAUGAGGGAAUCCCAAGUGCUUGCUCGUAAGAGUAAGCUGUUUUUAUGUGUAAAAAGCAUAGAGAGUAAGGGCUGGGUAAGACGGGUGCCAGCCGCCGCGGUAA